rnacentral:rRNA from 1 species
CCUACGGGAGGCAGCAGUGAGGAAUAUUGGUCAAUGGACGAGAGUCUGAACCAGCCAAGUAGCGUGAAGGAUGACUGCCCUAUGGGUUGUAAACUUCUUUUAUAUGGGAAUAAAAUGUUCCACGUGUGGGAUUUUGUAUGUACCAUAUGAAUAAGGAUCGGCUAACUCCGUGCCAGCAGCCGCGGUAAUACGGAGGGUCCGAGCGUUAUCCGGAUUGAUUGGGUUUAAAGGGAACGUAGGUGGAUUGUUAAGUCAGUUGUGAAAGUUUGCGGCUCAACCGUAAAAUUGCAGUUGAAACUGGCAGUCUUGAGUACAGUAGAGGUGGGCGGAAUUCGUGGUGUAGCGGUGAAAUGCUUAGAGAUCACGAAGAACUCCGAUUGCGAAGGCAGCUCACUGGACUGCAACUGACACUGAGGCUCGAAAGUGUGGGUAUCAAACAGGAUUAGAUACCCGAGUAGUC